rnacentral:rRNA from 1 species
GGACUACCGGGGUAUCUAAUCCCGAUCGAUACCCAUGCCUUCGUACCUUAGCGUCAGUUUUACUUAGUAACAUGCCUUCGCCUCUUCGCAACCCACAAAGUGUAAUAUUUUAACCCAAUACUAUGAGAGUUUGUUACUUCUUAUUUACUCUAGUAUAGUAAUAUCUUAUCCAUUCUAAGAUGUUAUCAAAAAGAUUUACUAUACCGCCUACGUACCCUUUAGACCCAUUAAUGACGAAUAACGCUUGCCUCACACGUAUUACCGCGGCUGCUGGCAC